AUAGUUUAAAAAUUUUGUUAAGCAUGAUGAUUAGGUUUUCACAAUAAUAUGUGAGCCCUGCAUCUCUCAAACCUUAUUAUGAUGUUGGCCCAUUACCUACCUCACA
ensembl:snoRNA